AAUACCGCAUAUAGCUAUAUAGUUGCAUGAUUAUGUAGUGAAAGAUUUAUUGGUAUAGGAGGAGUCUGCGGCACAUUAGCUAGUAGGUGAGGUAAAGGCUUACCUAGGCGACGAUGUGUAGCCGGUCUGAGAGGAUGAACGGCCACAAUGGAACUGAGACACGGUCCAUACUCCUACGGGAGGCAGCAGUGGGGAAUAUUGCACAAUGGGGGAAACCCUGAUGCAGCAACGCCGCGUGAGUGAAGAAGGUUUUCGGAUUGUAAAGCUCUGUUAGCAGGGAAGAGGAAGGACGGUACCUGCAGAGGAAGCCACGGCUAACUACGUGCCAGCAGCCGCGGUAAUACGUAGGUGGCAAGCGUUGUUCGGAAUAACUGGGCGUAAAGGAUGCGUAGGCGGUUAAACAAGUUAUAUGUUAAAUAUAUAGGCUUAACCUGUAGAAAGCAUAUAAAACUGUUUAACUAGAGUGCAGGAGAGGUAAGUGGAAUUCCUAGUGUAGCGGUGAAAUGCGUAGAGAUUAGGAAGAACACCAGUGGCGAAGGCGACUUACUGGACUGUAACUGACGCUGAGGCAUGAGAGCAUGGGGAGCAAACAGGAUUAGAUACCCUGGUAGUCCAUGCUGUAAACGAUGAAUACUAGGUGUGGGUUGUGAAUAACAAUUCGUGCCGUCGC
rnacentral:rRNA from 1 species